GGGGGGCGGGGUCUGGCACGUCGUGACGCACUGCGGCGCGACGGCCGCGGGUUUGAUGAACGCGGUUCCCGGGGAGAUCGGUGCGGUUGCUGUGUGCUAUGGAGCCGAGGGUCGUCAAGCCACCGGGGCAGGAUUUAGUAGUGGAGAGUCUCAAAAGCCGCUACGGACUCGGGGGCAGCUGCCCCGACGAGUAUGAUUUUUCAAAUUUUUAUCAGUCUAAGUAUAAGAGAAGAACUCUAACCUCCCCAGGUGAUUUGGAUGUCUACUCUGGAGAUAAAGUUGGUUCAUCGUUAAAAUAUUCUGAUGAAAGCAAGCAUUGUAGAACACCAUUGGGCAGCUUAUUCAAGCACGUAAAUGUGAAUUGCCUAGAUGAUGAACUGGAUUCUUUCCAUGAUUUGAAGAAACAGGAAACAGAAGAAGAGUUAAUUGAAAAUGAUUAUAGAGUUAGUACCUCGAAAAUAACCAAGCAGUCUUUUAAAGAAAUAGAAAAAGUUGCCUUGCCAACUAAUACGACCUCAUCGAGACCUCGGACUGAGUGUUGUAGUGAUGCAGGUGACUCUCCUUUGAAACCUGUCAGCUGUCCAAAAUCUAAAGCAUCAGACAAGCGGAGUUUACUUCCACAUCAGAUCAGUCAGAUACAUGACGAAUUAUUUCAGAUACAUCUGAAAUUGCAGUGUGAAACUGCAGCACAACAGAAAUUUGCUGAAGAACUUCAAAAGCGAGAACGUUUUUUACUUGAAAGAGAACAACUGCUUUUCAGACAUGAAAAUGCCUUGAGUAAAAUUAAAGGUGUUGAAGAAGAGGUUCUUAAAAGAUUUCAAAUUAUAAAAGAGCAGCAUGAUGCAGAAGUUGAACACUUAACCGAAGUUAUUAAGGAAAAGAAUAAAGAAACCAAGAGACUGAGGUCCUCUUUUGAUGCAUUGAAAGAAUUGAAUGAUACCUUAAAAAAACAGUUAAAUGAAGCAAGUGAAGAAAAUAGGAAGAUAGACAUUCAGGCUAAAAGAGUUCAAGCUCGUUUAGAUAAUUUACAGAGGAAGUACGAGUUUAUGACAAUACAGAGAUUGAAAGGAAGUUCCCAUGCUGUUCAUGAAAUGAAAAGUUUAAAACAAGAAAAAGCACCAGUUUCAAAAAUUUACAAGGUACCACUUAAUGGGCAAGUUUAUGAACUUUUAACUGUCUUCAUGGACUGGAUUUCGGAUCAUCAUCUUAGCAAAGUGAAACAUGAAGAAUCUGGAAUGGAUGGUAAAAAACCACAACUCAAAUUUGCUUCCCAGAGAAAUGAUAUUCAGGAGAAGUGUGUAAAGCUUUUGCCUCUAAUGACAGAGCAGCUACAGUGGAUGCCAUUUGUGAAUAUCAAACUUCACGAGCCUUUUGUAAAAUUUAUAUAUUGGUCCCUAAGGCAGCUAGAUGCUGGAGCACAGCACUCGACUAUGACAUCAACAUUGAGGAGAUUGGGUGAAGACAUUUUUAAAGGAGUGGUAACUAAAGGAAUUCAGGAUAGUUCUCCACAGCAUUCUGUGGAGAAUAAACCAAAGACAGCUGCUUUCUUUAAGAGCUCCAAUUUGCCAUUGAGAUUUUUAUCAACCUUAAUUGUUCUCAAAACAGUCACUCAAGCUGAUUACCUGGCUCAGGCAUUUGAUUCUCUUUGUUUGGACUUGAAGACAGAAGAAGGAAAAACCUUGUUUUUGGAGUAUCAGGCUGUUCCAGUAAUAUUAAGUCAUCUAAGAAUAUCCAGUAAAGGACUCCUGUCUAAUGUUAUUGAUAGUUUGCUCCAGAUGACGGUGGAAUCUAAAUCCUUGCAGCCUUUCCUGGAAGCCUGUAGCAACUCUUCAUUUUUUCGUACUUGCUCUGUGCUGCUUCGAGCCCCUAAGCUUGAUCUUCAAAUACUGGAAAAACUCAGUAUUAUUUUACAGAAACUUUCCAAAAUCAAGAGUAAUAAGAAGCUCUUUGAACUUUUUACGAUUCAUCUGAUGCUUCAAGAAAUACAAAGGACAACAAACCCAGAGCAUGCAUUUCUCUGUAUUAAUCUAAAUUCAACUCUGUUCAAUCUGGGUUUAACAAAAUGUAACUCCCUGGUCUCCAGUGCAAGCCAUUAGACUGGCUAAUUUUUUAAUAUAGUAUAUGUGGUGCUUAUUUAUAAACAUGUAGAAAUUACCAAAGUAACUACAAUUCUACCAAGUAAAGUUAUCAGUAGCAUCAUUUAUCAUGAAAAAUAAAUAAUUUUUUUGAACUGUAAAAAUGAAAUCUGUAGAAGGUAUUGGAACUUCUGGAAUGUUUCAGUUCAGUUUCAGGAGUUAGAAGAAAUUUUCAAGAAACUAUUGGGCCUCUUCAAAAAAAUACCAGAAAAUGUGCCAUUUUUGAAGUAGAAACAGAAAGCCAUAAUGAAAGAACAGGCCAAGGUGAGAAUGGUGGAACCAUAGAAACUUAAAAAUGCAGAAGGCCAGGCACGGUGGCUUACGCCUGUAAUCCCAGCACUCUAGGAGGCUGAGGUGGACGGAUCACCUAAGGUCAGGAGUUCAAGACCAGCCUUGCCAACAUGGUGAAACCCCGUCUCUACAAAAAAAAAACAGAAUUAGCCAGGCGGUGAUGGGCACCUGUGAUCCUAGCUACUCGGGAGGCUGAGGCAGGAGAAUCACUUCAACCUGGGAGGCAGAGGUUCCAGUGAGCCGAGAUCACGCCAUUGCACUCCAGCCUGGGCAACAAAGUGAGAUUCUGUCUCAAAAAAAUAAAAAUAAAUAAAUAAAUAAAAUAAAAACGCAGAAGCCAAAGUGCACAUUAGAAACAAAAAAUAACUUCAUAAAAUAGGAUUAGCAUGACAAGAACAAACAAAAAGGUGUCUCGGAACUCGGAGUAUAUAGAGAUGGUACUCAUGAGAGUGGAUGGCAGAUACUAGGACAGAGCCUGGCACUUCUGCAUGGCAACAUUUGGUGUCUCUGAGGAAAAGAACAGAACAAGUAGAGCGGAAGCAAUAUUCAGAAAUAUAGUUGAAUAAAGAUUCUGGUGGCCAAAGAAAGAACUGCAUGUACAGAUUGAGAGGGCUCAUCAUGUUCCAGAAAAACCUAUGAGAAAAGGGUUCUAUAAUUAGAUGCAUCCUGGCCAAAUGGUAAGUUACAAGGAUAAAAGCACAAACAAAAGCCAGUUACUUAACAAGAAAGGAAAAACCAGACUAGCCUUAUAGAAUGCUGGAAGGUAAUAGGGAGCUCUAGAGGAGAAGAUUUUUAAUCCAAGAAUUUCUCCCUAGUGAAGAUGCCUUUCAUAAGUGAAGACAAUGGAGUGACAGCUUCAGACAUUCAAGCGUUGAGAAAUUAUACCACUGAUGUACUAUUCUGGAGAAAGAAAUGACUUAAAGAUUAAUCAACUAAGAGAUGAAAGAAAACAGUUUAUUAAAUCAACCUCAUAUCAAAAGCACUGAACACUGAAACAACUUAAACAUUAAAUAAUUAUAACUGUUUAUAAGAUGGAUUGAGAUGUUAAAUUCCUGAAAAGGAUAAAUAAUGGAAAAAGCAGCCCCCUCGCUCUUCCUUCCUCCAUCAUCAUGAUGUGUACAGUUGACUCCAUUUCUCACCCUGUCUUCUCACAAGUCUUUCAGGGUCAAGUGAUGUCAGGCCAAGAAACAAAAGCAAAAUUGUCUCAUUCCCCAGUGCAUUCAGAUGAAAACUGAUAAUAAAAUCAGGUACAGUUCCAAGAGGAGACACUGGAGAGGAACCACGCUGGGUCUGUAAGGAAUUGCAAAUGAGAUGGCACACAUAUUUAUGCUGUAUCAAGGUCACUGUCAUCUUAACCAUAUCAGACUGAAAAUGUCACCUCCAUCUGGACAGUCAGCAGGGUGGUGGACUAUAUCUAUUCUCCAGGUGCAGUGCAACUAAAAAUGUUAAGAGAACAUAAGCAUGUGGUUGAGCUGGUGGCAAAGUAAAACAGUUCCUUGGAGGCCAGACAUGAUAAGAAGCAAAUCCAAAGCAAAAGAAAAAAUUUUAAAAAACAGAAAUCAAUGAAAUUGAAAACAGGAAGUCAACACAACCAAAAGCUAUUUCUUUGAAAAGAUAAUAAAAUUAAUAAGCUUCCAGCCAGGCUAACUUAAAAAAACAACAACAACAAACAAAAACAAACAAACAAACAAAAAAAAACAAGAGAAGGCACAGAUUGCUAAUACCAAAAAUGAAAGAGGGGACAGUACUGUAGAUUCCAUGUUCAUAGAUAGGAAGACUCAAUAUUGUUAAGAUGUCUGUUCUUCCCAACUUGAUCUAUAGAUACAAUGGAAAUCCUAUUCAAAAUCCUAACAAGUUAUUUUGUGAGUACCAACUAACUUUCUCCCAUGAAUUAUGAACUUUCUUAAUGGCAUCCAGAAGGCUAAACUUCCUAGGUUUUCAUAGCUAGAGAGGAGCCAGGGAGGAGACAUCAAGGCCUGGCUUCAAAGCUUCGAAGGACAGGCUGACUCUCUUGUUAGAGUUUAAUGGAGCUGGUGACUUUAACUUGAAGGCAAUGCUCAUUUGCCAUUCUGAAAAUCCUAGGGCCCUUAAGAAUUAUGCUAAAUCUCCCCUGCCUGUACUCUAUAAAUGGAAGAACAAAGCCUGGAUGACAGCACAUCUGUUUACAGCAUCAUUUUCUGAAUAAGCCUGCUGUUGAGACCUACUGCUCAGAUAAAAAAAAAGACUCCUCUGAAAACAUUACCACUUACUAACAGUACACCCAGUGACCAAAGAGCUCUACCAUGGACAUGUACAAGAUUAAUUUUCCAUGCCUGAUAACAUAACAUCCAUUCUGCAGCCUGUGAACCAAAACGUAAUUUCAACUUUCAAGUCGAUUUGCUUCUCCAUAUAUACUUUAUAAUUCAUGGGAGAAGGUCAAAAUAUCAACAUUAACAGGAAUUUGGAAAGAGUUGAUUCCAAUACUCACGAAUGACUUUGAGGGGUUUAAGACUUCAGCGGAGGAAGUAACUGCCGAUGUGGUGGGAAUUGCAAAUGAACUAGAAUCAGAUGUGGAGCCUAAGAUGGCAUGGUCUUCCAAUAGAAGGCUGUUUCAUCUACAUUGAAAAUCUGUUGUGUAGUGUAGCCACUUCAUCAGUGGUCUUACCUCAGUCUUGUGGAGAACUUGCUGCAGCUUCUACACCAGCACUUGUUGCUUCAACUUGCACUUUUAUGUUAUGGAGAUGAUUUCUUUCCUAAAACCUCAUGAACCAACCUCUGCUAGCUUCAACCUUUCCUUCUGCAGCUUCCUCAGCCUUCAUAGAAUUGAAGAGAGUUAGGGCCUUGCUAUGGAUUAGGCUUUGGCUUAAAGGAAUAUUGUGGCUGAUUUGUAUCAAGACCACUAAAACUUUCUCCUUAUAAGCAAUAUGGCUGCUGUGUUUUCUUAUCAUUUGUGUGUUGUCUGGAGUAGCACUUUUAAUUUCCUUUAAGAACUUUUCCUUUGCUUUCACAACUUUGUAGUUUGGCACAACAGGCCUAGCCUUCAGCUUUUCUUGGCUUUGGACAUGCUAAACCCAACCAUUUCUAGCUUUUCAUUUAAAGUGAGAGAUGUGAGACUCUUCCUUUCACUUGGACACUUAGAGGGCAUUUUAAGGUUAUUAAUUUGCCUAAUUUCAGUAUUGUUAUGUCUCAGGAAAUGAAGAGAGAUCCAAGGAGAGGGAGAGAUGGGGGAUCAGCCAGUCAGUGGAGCAGUCAUAACACACAAAUUCAUCAGUUAAGUUUGCUGUCUUACAUGGGUGUGGUUCUUGGCAUCCUGAAACACUUACAAUAGUAACAUCAGAGAUUAUUGGCCAGGCACGAUGGCUCACUCUUGUAACCCCAGCACUUUGGGAAGCUGAGGCUAGAGGAUUGCUUGAGGCCAGGAGUUUGAGACCAGCCUGGGCAACAUAGCAAGACCCUGUUUCUACAAAAAGAGUAAAAACAGAAAUAAACCAGCCAGUCAUAGUGGCAGGCGCUUAUAGUCCUAGCAACUCAAGAAGCUGAGGCAGGAGGGUCACAUGAGCCCAGGAGUUGGAGGCUGCAGUGAGCUAUGAUCACACCAAUGCAGUCCGGUCUGGGCAACAGAGUGAGACCCUGUCUCAAAAAAAAAAAAAAAAAAGAAAAAAUAGAUUACUGGUUACAGAUCACCAUGACAGAUAUAAUAACAUAAUAGUAACAGAAAAGUUUGAAAAAUGCAAAUUACCAAAAUGUGAGCUCAUGGUUUUGGAGAAAAUGGUUCCAAUAGACUCACCAGAUGCAGGGUUGCCACAAAUCUUCAAUUUGUAAAAAACGCAGUAUCUGUGAACCACAGUAAAGGUGAAGUGCAACAAAAUUAGGUAUGCCUGUAUGGAAACGCAGAGCUCACACCCUUCUGAUGAACAGACAGAAGUGUCAGAUCCUUUUCUAUGCUAGCAAAGGAUUUUAAGGGUUUGGAAUUCUCUAAAAGUGUAAAGCUCUUAGGAGGGCGUUACUGGGCAAAGCAGUGCUUUAUCUCAUUCUCUUGUUUGCCUGUUCAAACUUCCCACCCAUUGUAGACCCACUUGCUGUGUUAUUGCAGGUUAAGCCCCCAAGACCCUUUUCUCUGACCUUUUCUGUUCACUUCCCAUCCCCUUUCCUUUUCAGGUCAUCCUCCAUGCCCUUCUGAUGUCCACACAUCUCUUCAUUUUCUUCUCAGGCCUCCUCUUUCUCUCACCAUCUAAGUUAUUGAAAUUCUUGAAAUCCUAAGCUGGCCUGGCACUGAGAGUGACAGCGUAUUUCAUGUAGGAACCUGUGACAAAGCUCCACAUAAUAAACAUCAGAAAGUCAAGGAUGAUGGUUUUGGCCAAGGAGCAAAUGACACAUGCCACAGCUCUCCUGGCAGGUCCCCUUUUCGAGAUUGUGUCCUCCCGGAUAGGACUCUCAAGCAGCUGCAACAGGCAUCUUCCAGCUGGGAAAGGCCACUUGACCUCUUUUUCUCUUUCGAAAGCCAGGCAGCUGUGAGUCCAGGCUUGUCACUCCUGGGUGCAGGCUCAGGAAUUGAAGGUAGGUCUGCCAAGCCACACACCCUCGUUGAAACACCUCUGCUCUGUGGCCAGGUUUUUCAGCCCCUCCCCACUCCCCAUCAGCAGUGGCUUCUGGAAUUUCCCUGUCUGUAGAAUGAGAAUAGUUACAUCAAAAUUUCUUCCCAAGGAGCUAAUUGGAAUAUUGUAAUACAAAUAUUUGCAGAGAAUUAAUACUGAGAGAUGCUAAAGGAGAAUUUAGCUCGUGUAAUUACUAAUCAGUGUCUCUUUUCCAGGUACUCUGUAAGGGAGCUGAAACUUCCAGCCUUUCUUCCUAUUCACAAACCCACCUUUACCCGCCCCCAAUGCUGGACUUUGGUUUUUCAUAUUGCUUUUGCAGAACUUUAAAGCAUUUGAAUCUUUCCCUGAUGAGUUUUUGUCCUGAGGGGCCAGUGCAGUUUUCUUGGCACUUUGUUUUCCUCUCAUAUAACUUUUCCCUGUCAAUAAGGCAUUUAGGCUGAGAGAAAAAGUUAUUGAGCAUGUGCAUCCAAAUUUGAGAUGAUUGUUAUUUCAUUACCUAAUGACUUUAACUUCUUUGAUACUGUGUUUGUCUUAUGAAUAUAAUGGCUUUCUCACUUUAAUGAAAAGUUAUACAAUAAAAUUGAAAAGUAAGUACUGUA